GUCUAUGGCCAUACCACCCUGAACAUGCCCAAUCUUGUCUGAUCUCGGAAACUAAGCAGGGUCGGGCCUGGUUAGUACUUGGAUGGGAAAAUCACAUGUUGAUAUGAGCU
rnacentral:rRNA from 1 species